rnacentral:rRNA from 1 species
CAACCAGACUCCUACGGGAGGCAGCAGUGGGGAAUAUUGGACAAUGGGGGGAACCCUGAUCCAGCGACGCCGCGUGAGUGAAGAAGUCUUUCGGUAUGUAAAGCUCUAUCAGCAGGGAAGAAAGAAAUGACGGUACCUGACUAAGAAGCCCCGGCUAACUACGUGCCAGCAGCCGCGGUAAUACGUAGGGGGCAAGCGUUAUCCGGAUUUACUGGGUGUAAAGGGAGCGUAGACGGCAAUGCAAGUCUGGAGUGAAAGGCGGGGGCCCAACCCCCGGACUGCUCUGGAAACUGUAUAGCUGGAGUGCAGGAGAGGUAAGUGGAAUUCAUAGUGUAGCGGUGAAAUGCGUAGAUAUUAGGAGGAACACCAGUGGCGAAGGCGUCUUACUGGACCGAAACUGACGUUGAGGCUCGAAAGCGUGGGGAGCAAACAGGAUUAGAUACCCAGUA